rnacentral:rRNA from 1 species
AAUCAACGCUGGCGGCGUGCCUCAGACAUGCAAGUCGAACGCGAAAUUUCCCUUCGGGGAGAAAGUAGAGUGGCGCACGGGUGAGUAACACGUAGGUAAUUUGCCUUUGGGUGGGGAAUAACUCAGGGAAACUUGAGCUAAUACCGCAUAAUGCAGCGGCUCGACAUCGAGACAGUUGUUAAAGCGGGGGAUUGGAGCAAUCCGACCUCGCGCCUAAAGAGAAGCCUGCGGCAGAUUAGCUAGUUGGUAAGGUAAUGGCUUACCAAGGCGACGAUCUGUAACCGGCCUGAGAGGGCGGUCGGGUCACACUGACACUGACAUACGGGUCAGACUCCUACGGGAGGCAGCAGUCGGGAAUUUUGGGCAAUGGGCGCAAGCCUGACCCAGCAACGCCGCGUGAAGGAUGAAUUUUCGGAAUGUAAACUUCGCAAGAACAGGAAGAAUAAGUGUAGGGAC